CUUUCUCUUUCUUUCUGUCAACUGAACUCUGUCUGAUACUACCUCUGUUUCUCAGUGUGAUUGUUGGCUUACAUUUGGGUAGCAUUCAUUUGCUCUGAUUCUUUAAGAUUGCUGCAUUUUCUGGGUUUUAGUUACUUUGGACUAAAACUGUGUAAAAUGGUGAAGAAUUGAAGAGCUUUCUUUUAAAAAAAGAGCUGAAACUGCUUCUGGACUGAGAAAGAAGGUUUGGGAUUGAUCAUAAGGAAAAAUCGUUCUUCGGCAUUUGCAAUUUCAGCAAAGAUAGUCAAGGGGCAAGCUAAAGCGACUUUUGUUGGUAAUGUC